rnacentral:rRNA from 1 species
GGCGCAGCCUGAUGCAGCGACGCCGCGUGAGGGAUGACGGCCUUCGGGUUGUAAACCUCUUUCAGUAGGGAAGAAGCGAAAGUGACGGUACCUGCAGAAGAAGCGCCGGCUAACUACGUGCCAGCAGCCGCGGUAAUACGUAGGGCGCAAGCGUUAUCCGGAAUUAUUGGGCGUAAAGAGCUCGUAGGCGGUUUGUCGCGUCUGCCGUGAAAGUCCGGGGCUCAACUCCGGAUCUGCGGUGGGUACGGGCAGGCUAGAGUGAUGUAGGGGAGACUGGAAUUCCUGGUGUAGCGGUGAAAUGCGCAGAUAUCAGGAGGAACACCGAUGGCGAAGGCAGGUCUCUGGGCAUUAACUGACGCUGAGGAGCGAAAGCAUGGGGAGCGAACAGGAUUAG